rnacentral:rRNA from 1 species
AAUGAACGCUGGCGGCGUGCUUAACACAUGCAAGUCGAGCGGUAAGGCCCUUUCGGGGGUACACGAGCGGCGAACGGGUGAGUAACACGUGGGUGACCUGUCCUUAGCUCUGGGAUAAGCCUGGGAAACUGGGUCUAAUACCGGAUAUGACUCCAUGACGCAUGUUGUGGGGUGGAAAGCCUUGUGCGGCUAGGGAUGGGCCCGCGGCCUAUCAGCUUGUUGGUGGGGUGAUGGCCACCAAGGCGACGACGGGUAGCCGGCCUGAGAGGGCGACCGGCCACACUGGGACUGAGAUACGGCCCAGACUCCUACGGGAGGCAGCAGUGGGGAAUCUUGCGCAAUGGGCGAAAGCCUGACGCAGCGACGCCGCGUGAGGGAUGACGGCCUGU